AUUAAAAAAAAACUAAAAUAAGUUUUUGGCCCCAAAAUUUUCUGGUCAGCCCCAUUUCUCCGCCAUUACGGUUUAAUACGGUGGUUGAGCGUGACAGCCAUUUCAUCGAUCGACAGCCAUUUCUCCGAUCAAAUAAAUACUCGAUCGACAGCCACCUAUUUUAAGAUACUCGUCAUCACUUCUCGGUGAAAUUAAUGUGAACCACUUCAUCGAUCGACAACCAUUUCUCCAUUCAAUACUCGAUCGACAGCCACUUCUCCGUUCAAUACUCGACAGCCAACUCGUCUUUAGGACGUCUUCAAUCUGUCGGAGAUUGAAAAAACGACGGUAGUGUGCUGGUUGUUUUCUUGUCUGAGCUACAAGUAGCUGAUUUUCAUAUGGUCUUCUUGCAAUUUUACUUCUCCGUAAAUGUUCUUCUUCUCAGGUAGGUCUCCGAUUUUGUUCCCUGUUCAUUAAAAAUGGAUUUUGUGGUCCAAUUUUAGAACAAUUUUGUGGAUUUGUGGUCUAAUUUGUGGAUUUUGUGGUUUGAUUGUGGGAAAAUUUCAUGCAAUUAUAAAGCAAUGAACAUAAGAGUAAAAGAUCUUAUUAGCAAUUUUGAGGAAUUUAUAUAAUGAACAUCUAUGUUUGCCUUAAAUUAUAAACUAGUUAUCAGUAUUGGGACGAAAUAAGUCUGGACAUACACAAAUAUUGAUAUUUAUUAUAGUCGUAGUUGAUAAUUUAUGGUAUAUGUGACAUAGAUCAGUAGAAACUCGAGCAAUAGCAGAGUGAGCCGGGGGUUACUUACCGCGAGCAAGUAGUACUAUUCCUAAUCCUUUAGUUGUAGUUUCAGCUGUCCACACUUAUGUUUCUCUACUUCUGCUUUUAUAGUAGCUUAACUUGGCUCGUAUGCUGAACAACGAUUACUAGAGAUUCUUACUUCCUGUAGGCAAGUUUGUUGGCAGUUAUUAGCUAUGUUGUUCGGACUUUUCAAAAUGUUAUCGCCCUGUCAAACAUUCAAAAUAAACUGCUUUUGGAGGAUAUGAUGCUUUUUUGUCGAACAAACACAUUUUAUUAUCGCCACCAAACCUCCACAAGACUCUCUUUUCAUGAGCAGUCCAUCAGAGAAAAAAAAAGAAACCUACGUCCUGACCACUCUACUUCUAUACAGUUUCCUAUGUGUGUAACUGUUCUAUCCACCCUAUGUCUCUGUAGAUGAUCAUCCUAUUUAUAAACUCAAAACCUCUGUCCUUAACUAUCUUGCUGCAUUUGUAGCACUAUACUAUGUGGUCUGGGGACUAUACUAUUCCAUUGAGCUAUAUUACGUGGUUUCCAGAUAUGAUAUAUGAGCGCAACUAUUACACUUAUUCGUUGUACUCUUUGAGUUGCCCUGAUCCAUAACUCUUGCAAAUCCUUGUUGUCGAGUGGGGAUGACUGAAGUGUUGUUUACCUUGACAUGUCAGAUUUGUAAUUUUAUUCUGUCUUCCCAUUGAUUUUCCUUGUAAAUUUGUUGAGUUCAAUAAUUAAUAAAAGUAUAUAUUAGAGAGCUGGCAAGUUAAUUUGUUCACUGAUUACACUUAUUAACUUGUUAUCUUAUUUGUAGAUACUAAUUUACCUAUGAUAAUAAGUUAAUAAAUUGGCCAUGUUGUUUCCUUCGAUGACUCCGCAUCAUGGUUUCUUUAAUUAAGUAGUUCCACGCAACAAUUUAGCCGGCUGAUAUUCAAAAGUAUAUCUAAAAAUCUGUAAGCUUAUUGACCGACUUAAUUAGCGAUGUUAACUGAUGGCUACUAAAAUAUAUAAAGAGAGCAUCUUCCACUGCUAUGUGAAACUGUUCUAUCCACCCUAUGUCUCUCUAGAUGAUCUUCCUAUGAAUAAAUUCAAAACCUCUGUACUUAAUUAUCUUGCUGCAUUUGUAGCACUAUAUUAUGUGGCCUGGGGACUAUACUGUUCCAUUGAGCUAGAUUACGUGCUUUCCAGUCUCCAGAUAUGAUAUAUAAGCACAACUAUUGCACUUAAUUCAUUGUACUCUUCGAGUCGCCCUGAUCCAUAACCCUUGCAAAUCCUUUUUGUCGAGUGUAAUUUUCAUCUAAUCCAGUAUCUCAUUCAAGCAGAAUCCAGAGAAAGUGCACUCAUCAAACAGUUGUUCUAUUGUUUCUUGUGCAGAAUCACAUAUGAGUAAUCUACCAUUCCGGCAGACAUUUAGACUGGCUAGCCUUGUUCUGGUUAAUAUCCUUCUAUGCAUGUUUAACCAACAUACGAAACUAUUUUUGUCCACAUUCGUUUUAUUCCAGAACCCCCUCCGCGGCUCCACCAUGUCCAUUCACUGUUAGGAUUAGUUUUAACCAACCUAUCUGCUUCUUUUAAAAGAUUAGUUAUUCUACAAAGUUGAUAUUAUGAGUAAAGGCUGAAUUUUCCAUAUGAAUGUGCUUAUAUUCUACAUGCUACCCUACAUGCUGGAUACACCACAGAUUAUGAGGUACGAUUAGGUAGGACCAUGAGAUAGCAUGUACUUACAUGGACAAUAGAGGAUUACUGAAUUUACUUAUUAAAGAGUCUAAAAGUAUGUUAUAAAGAUUUUGUGCUUGUAAAUGACUUUGUGCUCAAGUUUAUGCUUUAAGGUUAUGCAUGAUCCAAUGGUUAUCUACAUGUUAAUGUGCUUGUUGGGUGCUUUUCACGGAUGAUAGCUUGCAUUUUGUUAUACUAUAGAUCCCUUGAUUAUUGGUACAUGAAAUAUGUUGUAGUGAUUUAUGUAUUGGGUUUUUAUAUGGAGUAGGCAUUAUUGUCAAUAGAGAUUGUUGCAUGAAUAUAUUUUUUUAUGUAUCUUUUGGGAUGAGAAAAAAAAAAACAUGUUAGAUUAUUUCAAGAGUGUUAUGUUGUAAAAGUGCCUUGUACUCUGUAUAUCAACUUAAAUGAAGCAUUAUCAGAAACAAAAUAAUCAAAAUAGCCCAUCCUACACUUCAUAGUUGGCAAAGGAAAUAGAUACCUACGACAACAUAUCAUUAGAAACUUUUCAUUUUCAACUUACAUAUUACGUAUGUAUAUUGAGUUUGACUAUCUUGUACAGUUAAUAGGGUGUUGAUCUAUAGAUAAUCAUCUUGAUUUGAUCUUUCACAGCGAUGAUAUCUCAUAGAAGUUAAAAUAUAUCUAUCAUAAUAAUUUUAUUCAUAUGAUAGCGCAAAAUAUUGACUGGUUGCUCUACCUAGAUCUCUACAUUUGAUUGCUUAAGCAUGAUCAAAAUUCUUAUUUAAUUAAAUAAAUGUUGUAAAAAUUAUUUCACAUACCUAAUUGUACUAUUUGUACAUUGAUAUUGACUGUACUCAUGAUUUUCUUGCUUCAAUAUUUUAAAUAUGUAACAUAGGGUAUUUAAUGGAUGUUGCAAAUAAAAGUUGGAUGUAUCUCCCAAAAUCUACCAUUCAGUUCCAAAAUGGAGUCGAGGAUUUUCUCAAUAAUGCAUUUGAACGAGCUUCUCAAGGAAAUGAAAUAUUAUGCCCUUAUAGAUUGUGCUUUAAUCGCUAUUGGCAUUAUCGAGAUGUGGUGGAGGAUCACUUGUAUGGUCAUGGAUUUGUUCCUAACUACACUCAAUGGGUUAGGGGUUUCGUCAACAAAUAUUCAACAUUCAAGCAGUGUUAUGAAACUUUUGACCAACAUGAUGAUAUUGAUAAACUACUUCAUUAUACUUUUAGAAAUGCAGAAGAUGGCUAGAGGAAUAAAGGGCAUGAAGGAGUAAGAUAGGGACCGUCUGAAGAUGUUAAGUAAUUUUUUAAAUUAGUGGAGGAAGGAAAACAAGAUUUAUAUCCGGGGUGUAAGAGUUUUUCUAAGUUGAAUUUCACCAUCUUGUUUUACUUGUUCAAAUGCAUUCACGGGCUGAGUAAUGUAGCUUUCUCAGUCUUGCACUUGAUAAAAGAGGCUUUUCCAUUUGCUUAGAUUCCCGAGUCUUUCCACAAAGCAUGAAAGGUGAUAAGAGAUUUGGAUAUUAAUUAUGAAAAAAUCCAUGCAUGCCUUAAUGACUGCAUGUUGUUCUGGAAUGAGAAUGCAAAGCUCGAUAAUUGCGUUAUGUGUGGGUCUUCUAGAUGGAAAAAUGUUCGUGAUGAGUUGACUAAUAGGACUAAUAAAGUUCCUGCGAAGGUCUUAAUGUACUUUUCUUUAAAGCCUAGGCUUCAGAGGAUAUUCAUGUGUUAUGAAAGAUCUGUAGCUAUGAGAUGGCAUGCUACUGAACGACCCAAAGAUGGAAAUUUAAGGCAUCCCGCUGACGGGGAAGCUUGGCAACAUCUUGAUUCCAUGCACCCCGACUUCACCAAAGAUGUUCGUAAUGUUAGAUUGGGUAUUUCAAGUGAUGUCUUCAAUCCAUUCUGAACAAUGAGCAUUUCUCAUAGCACAUGGCCAGUUAUGUUAAUGAACUAUAACCUAGCACCGUGGAUAUGCAUGAAGCCAGAGUAGAUAAUGUUAUCAAUGAUUAUUCCAGGUCCCUCGUCUUCUGGAAAUGAUAUUGAUGUAUACUUGCGGCCGCUAAUUGCAGCGUUGAAUGAACUAUGGAAGAUGGGAGUGGAAACAUUUGACGCUAAAACUAACCAAACAUUUAAUAUGCGUGCAGUUUUAUUGUGGACAGUUAGUGAUUUUCCAGCACUAGCAAUGUUUUUUGGAUGGAGCACCAAGGGGAGAUGGGCAUGUCCCAUUUGUAAUCAUAGUACUUGCUCCCAGUAUCUCAAACAUAGUCGUAAGAUGUGUUACUUGGGUCAUCGAACAUUUUUGCCCCUGAUCAUCCAUAUCGAAGAGAUAGAAAAUCAUUUAAUGGUAAGGAGGAGCAUAAAGCUGCACCUACUCCCUUAUCAGGUGAAGAAGUUCUUGAAGUACUACGUGAAUUCAAUAAUGUUUUUGGAAAGAGCCAACAAAAAGAAAAAGAAACAGUGUUGGUCCCUGGAAAAAAGAUCCAUAUUUUUGAAUUGCCGUAUUGACCGAAAAAUAGAUUGCGGGACAACCUUGACCCGAUACACAUAGAGAAGAAUUUAUGUGAUAGUUUGCUUGGUACAUUGUUGGAUAUAGCUUGGAUAUAGCUGGGAAGUACAAAGAUCACGUAAACUCUCGCUAUGGCUUGCAUCAAAUGGGGAUAUGCAAAGACCUUCAACAAAUAGAAGAUGAUAAUAGCGAAAAAGUUCAUCUGGCUAAAGCUUGUUUCUUUAUGAAACUUGAGGAGAAAAUGUUGUUUUGCAUUAUUUUAAAAGAUGCCAAAUUGCCAAAAAGUUGUGCCUCUAAUAUAUCAAGUCGAGUGCAAAUAGAUGAGAUGAAAAUAUCAGGAUACAAAAGUCAUGACACUCAUUUCAUAAUGCAUCACUUGCUCCAGGUUGCAGUUAGAAAAGUGUUACCGAAAAAUAUGUCUUUAGCCUUGAUUAGGUUGGGGAAUUAUUUUAGAGCCAUAUAUAGUAAGGUUAUAAGAAAAAGUGAUCUUAAUAAAAUGAAGGCUGAAAUGAUAGAUAUAGAAUGUGAGCUUGAAAAGAUUUUUCCUCCAACCCUUUUUGAUAUAAUGACACAUUUGCCUAUCCAUUUAGUAGAUGAAAUUAAGCUCGGGGGCCCGACUUAUUUGCAUCACAUGUAUCCUAUUGAAACAAAUCUGUGUAACUAUAAGGGAUUUGUUUGUAAUAGAAAUACCCCUGAAGCAUAAUCGCAGAGGAUUUUUUGGCUGAAGAAUGUUUGAACUUUUGUUCGAGAUACCUAGAUAAUGGGGUGACAAAAUUCAGUAGUUAUCCAACAGGGGAUGAUGAGGGCACUCAAAUAGAGGGAGGUUAUUUGUCACCUAUAUUUCCUAAGAUAGGUCAUCCAAUCGGAAGCAAGAAGAAAAGAAAAGGUAAGACUUUUGAAUUGGAUAAUCAUCAGUGGUUUGAAGCACAUCGAUAUGCUUUAGCCUUGAUUAGGUUGGGUAGUGGUUUGCAGUUAGAAAAGUGUUACCGAAAAAUGUCUUUAGCCUUGAUUAGGUUGGGGAAUUAUUUUAGAGCCAUAUAUAGUAAGGUUAUUAGAAAAAGUGAUCUUGAUAAAAUGAAGGCUGAAAUGAUAGAUAUAGAAUGUGAGCUUGAAAAGAUUUUUCCUCCAACCUUUUUUGAUAUAAUGACACAUUUGCCUAUCCAUUUAGUAGAUGAAAUUAAGCUCGGGGGCCCGACUUAUUUGCGUCACAUGUAUCCUAUUGAAACAAAUUUGUGUAACUAUAAGGGAUUUGUUCGUAAUAGAAAUACCCCUGAAGCAUAAUUGUAGAGGAUUUUUUGGCUGAAGAAUGUUUGAACUUUUGUUCGAGAUACCUAGAUGAUGGGGUGAAGACAAAAUUCAGUAGGUAUCCAACAGGGGAUGAUAAGGGCACUCAAAUAGAGGGAGGUUAUUUGUCACCUAUAUUUUCUAAAAUACGUAAUCUAAUCGGAAGCAAGAAGAAAAGGAAAGGUAAGACUUUUGAGUUGGAUAAUCAUCAGUGGUUUGAAGCACAUCGAUAUGCUUUGUUUAAUACCGGAGAUGAACAAGUAGAUACAUUUAUCAAGUAAGAUAAAAUAGUUAUUUGUAUUUGAACUUCCUUUAUAUGAUAUCAUAAUCUGUAUAAAUUUCAUUUAUUUAUACCAUUAUUGAUUUAAUUUACAUUACGUGCUGGCAGCGAACAUAAGGAUUUAGUUGAUAAUCAUAGCAAAGGAAGUGCAAGGGUAAAAGCAUAAAUUUAUAGUCGAGAAUUUAGUGAUUGGUUUAAGAAAAAAGUUAAAACUGUUGAAGUGCCAAAUCAUUUAAGAUGGCUAGCUAUUGGGCCUAAUUUUGUGGCUAAAAGAUAUACUGCAUAUUUCAUUAAUGGAUAUCGAUUUCAUACGAUGACACGGGAUGUCUCAGGCAAGACACAAAAUAGUAGAGUGACUUUGUCAGCGACAGCAAAUAGUUUUGCUAGUGCUAGAGACCCGAAUCCUAUUGAUGGAAUGAUUAUCUAUUAUGGAGUUAUUCAAGAUAUCAUCGAGAUAGAUUAUUGGGGUUGCUUUAGUGUUGUACUAUUUAGAUGUGAUUGGUUUCAUAAUGAAGUAGAUAAAUAUGGGUUGACGCGUGUAAACUUCAAUAGAAAAUGCAGCAUAGCUGACCCUUUUGUACUAGCAUCACAAGUGCAUCAAGUGUUUUAUGUGGAAGAUCCAAUUGAGAAAGGGAUUUAUUAUGCAAGGAAUAAAGUCCCUAUUGAUUUGUAUGAUUUGGAGGAAGAAAGUUGUCCCAAUAUUGAAGAAACAUUUUGGAGGGAGCCUAAUAAUGACAUUGGUUCAUCAGAAAGCGUACUCAAUGUUGAUGUCAGAUGGUCGAGAGCUGAUCUCCCUGAUGAUAUCAUUGAUGUGCCUUCGCAUGUAAAACAUUCAGAAGAUGUAAUGGAAACAUCAAAACAGGAGGAUGACAUUGAUCAUACCGAUUGGGAUUGGAUGGAAGCUGAUGACUGACAUUAUAGUCAUUUAUUCGUAAUGGUCAGUAGUUAAUGUGCUUGAUGUGUCGUAAUGAUCUUGACUAGUAUCUAUGUUUCCUGUUUAUUUUUGAAGCAUCAAAAUAGAGAUAUCAUGGUUUGUCUUAUUGUUUGUCCUUUAAUUCACCUUUUGAAUGUUUCAAUUUUUUAUUGAAUACCCAUUUUGUGUUCUUGAAUUUUGCUUUUCAAUUUUCAUAUCUCUAUGUGUGUGUUUUGGUACAAGUGUAUGCUGUUAUUUAUCUCAAUUUUACUUUUUUCUGAUUUGGGUAUACUUCAUUUGCUCUCUAUAAUUCUGGAAAUGCUCAGUUUUUAUUGAACUACUCUUCAGUUGCUUGGACAGUUGGACUGCUAAGAUAAUUCAAUUUUCAGGAAACCCAAAAAGAAGGGGAAAUAGAAAAGCUGAAAUUUCCAACUACAUCAAAAGAAGAAAGGCAAAUAAGGAAAAUGAUGAGGUGUAUACACAUCUAACUCUUCUACCUCUUCCAGAUAUCGACUAUCCAUCACAAAAGGCAAUGCAGAUCGACUAUCCAUCACAAAAGGAAAAAACAAAGUGUCUGUGUUUAUUAGUUUCAUGUUUGUGUAUCAUUUUGCUUAUGUUAUAUCAUCAAUUAAUUCUACUCAAUCAUCUGCUUGGUGUUGUCACUAUUUCUGAAUUCUUGAGGUGCUCCCUAUUUUGUUGUAGAUGCUAUAUCGGGAUUGCCGAGGGUCCUGCAGAAACAGCCUCUCUACCUCGGUAGCAGUGAGGUUUAUGUACACUAAACCCUCGCCAUUCCCGUUAGUUGUAAGCUAUCUGGGAUUCAUAUUGUCAACACUUAUUUGGGACUACCAUUAUGUUGCAUAGUUUUGUUUGAUGUAAUUUCUAAUCGUUGUGUGGUUAUAUUCAGAUAGGACACAGACGAGAAUUAAAAAGUUGGGGACCAAUUUUUAGAUUUAGUACAAACCUUGCAUGACAUUCAAUUUUUUCUGUUUAAGGCAUUAAAGUUGAUGGAAAUGCUGGGGUCAGUGGUGAACUGGAGACUUAGUCUGCAACAUUGAAUAGUGAAUAACAUUUAGUAUUGAUGAUACCUGUAUGGCUAUGACAAGGGGUAGCUAGGACACUCUAUCCAGCAAAACAAGCUUUUAAACACAUCCUGUGUUGGUUUGAAUAGAUGCCUGUAAUUCUGACAAGCCAUUCCAUCAUCCAAGAAUGAAAUGAAGGAACAAUUCGACCCGUUAUAAAUAGUGUGAGACUGGUUAUCAUACACCCAUUUACCUGAAAAGAAAUUGCAGCUGGAUAAUGAGUUCAACUUAGGCUUUUUCCCAAUUCCCUACAGCCUAAUCUCUCUGGACAAGGACAAAGUUGUGAUAACCAGAACCAGUCAUUAUUGCUACCAGCAACUGAAAACUUAGCUGAAUACCAAUUACCUUGUUAUUCCAUUUCAUUUUCUUUUUUUGGUUCUGUUCCUGUUACAAGUGGUUGAAAUAUGCAACCAUUGAUUUAUUUGCAUCCAGGUGACUAAAGUUGCUGAUUUGUCUCUGCAACCUGAAGUAAUUUUAUACUAAUCAGAUCGUCCAUCUUAAUUUUAUGCUGGUUUGGAUAAAAAUGAAUCGACAAGGGCCUUCAAAAAGUAACAAAAGAUCAAACAGAAAGGCAUUUAUUACACCUGGAUCGUUAUCAGCCAUGGCAAACAGAAAACAGCGAUUAUUGACAACAACUGAAACAGUUAAAGCCAUACGAUCGGAGAAAGAGAAUGUUCUCAAAUUAAUUGAGAACAACAGCCACCAGUACAACAGCCAUCAGUACAAAAGCCACCAGUACAACAACCACCAUCUCAAGAAAUUGAAUAAUAUGUAGUGGAGCAUCAUGUUAUAGAGGAGCAACAUACAGAUGAUGAGCAACAUGUAGAGGAUCAAGUCCAAAUGGCUGAUUCAGCCACUCCGAUAAUAGCUGAACAUUCUGAAGAACAAGUUGAAGGGCCUUCCACUAGAAAAACAAGAGGCAAAACACAAAUGCACAAGGUACAUGGCGGACAAGAGAAAAAACUGAUCAUACUAAAUCGGCAAAAUCAACCUGUUGGUCCUACUAAUAAAGUUGUAACUGAAGCUUCCUAGGCACAUUGGUGAAGAAUGUGUGACCCUUUGCCCAUUGGAUAUAUUUAUUUGGAGGCUGAUGGAUACUAAAAAGGAUUUAUGGGAUUAUACUCAGUCAAAAUAUGAUAUUCCUGAUGCCACAAAAGGUUGGGUUUUGGAAAGACUUCGAGAAUCUUAGAGAAAGCAUAGAGCUAAUUUAAAAGAAAAACAUUAUGAUCCAUAUGAAAAUGAUGAAGUUCAAGUGGCGAAAAGGCUGGGAGGUGUUCCAGAAUGUCAAUUUAACAGCUCCUCAUAUAUUGGAAGUCUGAAAAUUUUUAGAAAAUGUCUAAAACAAAUACUGAGAAUCUAAAGAAGUUGAUGGAUCCACACAUUGCCGGCAAAAAGAGUUUUGCUUUAAUUCAUAAUAAAUUGGAAAAAGAAAAGGGGGAACACUGUUGCUAAAGAAAAUAUUUGCGGUCACAAGAGAAAGAAAACCUAGUCGUAUAUACGAGACUUCAAAUGAAAGCACCACUAGUAAAAUUGCUGAAAUGGAGGAAAUUGAAAUGCAAUAGGGUGCAAAUAAUCAGUCUGUUGAUGCAUUUUCAGCAGUCAUGAGUCCUGAACAUCCGGGACGUGUAAGACUGUAUGGAAUGGGGUUACAAGAACUUUCUUGAAAAGAAUAAAUGGCACUUCUGAUCCAACUUUCAAGGUCACCAAUGAUGUCGUGCAACAAAUGCAAGAAACAAUGCAAAAAAUGGAGGAUCAAAUCGAGGAACAAAAGGGAACCAUUAGACAAGAAGUUAUUGCAGAUGUAAUUGCUCAACUUCAGAUUGCAGGAUUAAUUGAUCCUAAGAUGCUAGCGUCAUUGUCCAUUCCUCCAUCAAUAGAAUCUACCUCUACACUUGCAGAUACAGGGAGAAACAGUCAAAACAAUAAGGUGAUCAUGACAUAGAAGAUGACGGAAAUGAAAUUGAUGAACUAGACCUGAUCUAAGAGAUCAAUUGCACUUGUUUCAUGUUACACUAGCUGUUGGAAAAUUUGACCGAGUAGUUUCUAACAUCUUUUAUUUUUUGAACAUUUGAAACUUGUGUAUGUUUUGAUUUUUCUGAAUGGUCAAAAAAUAUUUGGUUUUUUGCAUAUGACAUUUUGGGAAUUAAUAGUUACUAAUACUCUUGAUGAUUA